rnacentral:rRNA from 1 species
UACAGAGGGUGCAAGCGUUGUUCGGAAUUACUGGGCGUAAAGCGCGUGUAGGCGGGCUGAUAAGUCGGACGUGAAAUCCCUGGGCUCAACCCAGGAACUGCAUCCGAAACUGUCAGUCUGGAGUGGUGGAGAGGGAAGCAGAAUUCCUGGUGUAGAGGUGAAAUUCGUAGAUAUCAGGAGGAACACCGGUGGCGAAGGCGGCUUCCUGGACACUAACUGACGCUGAGACGCGAAAGCGUGGGGAGCAAACAGG